GUCCCAUGACAUUUAGUGAUGAUGUGUCUGUUUUUUUAUCAAUUAAUGUGUGCCACGUGUGUAAUUCCAUUUUUUAAAAAAUAAAAAAAUGGUAUUUUUCAGAUUUUCAGCACUAAAUUCUAUUGUUGGUCACGUGCCUCCUUCUCUCAAAAUCUGAAAAAUACAAUUUUUUUAUUUUUAAAAAAAAUAAAAUUACACAUGUGGCACACAUUAAUUGAUAAAAAACAGACACAUCAGCAUUAAAUGUCAUGGGGA
rfam:Medicago truncatula strain A17 chromosome 5, whole genome shotgun sequence.